rnacentral:tRNA from 1 species
GCUCCGUUAGCUCAGUUGGUUAGAGCGUGCGGCUGUUAACCGCAAUGUCACUGGUUCGAUCCCAGUACGGAGCG